rnacentral:pre_miRNA from 1 species
CGCGUACGGGGAAGGGGGCGGCCACCGGAGUCCGGUGGCCGCCCCCUUCCCCGUACGCG